CUUAUUAAUAUAAGAAGAGUUUGC
rnacentral:siRNA from 1 species